AGUGAACGCUGGCGGUAGGCCUAACACAUGCAAGUCGAACGGCAGCACAGUAAGAGCUUGCUCUUACGGGUGGCGAGUGGCGGACGGGUGAGGAAUACAUCGGAAUCUACUUUUUCGUGGGGGAUAACGUAGGGAAACUUACGCUAAUACCGCAUACGACCUACGGGUGAAAGCAGGGGAUCUUCGGACCUUGCGCGAUUGAAUGAGCCGAUGUCGGAUUAGCUAGUUGGCGGGGUAAAGGCCCACCAAGGCGACGAUCCGUAGCUGGUCUGAGAGGAUGAUCAGCCACACUGGAACGGAGACACGGUCCAGACCCCUACGGGAGGCACAAGAGGGGAAUAUUGGACAAUGGGCGCAAGCCUGCUCCAGCCAUACCGCGUGGGUGAAGAAGGCCUUCGGGUUGUAAAGCCCUUUUGUUGGGAAAGAAAAGCAGCAGGUUAAUACCCCGCUGUUCUGACGGUACCCAAAGAAUAAGCACCGGCUAACUUCGUG
rnacentral:rRNA from 1 species